AUGACUGCUACAGUAGCUUACCACGUAUGAUCCAAGAGGGUUGGCACAGAGUGUUGUCUGUGGACGCCAUUUGAAAAUAUAGGCAGUGUAAGCACUGGAGAAUCUAAUUAUUUCUUUGCAAAACCUAAUUAGGCAUUAAAAAAGGUUAACGCCAGCCGCCUGAAACGUUUUUGUUUAAUAAUCCCAUUACUGACGGCUCAUCAUGUAUAAAAUGGGGCAGGAGGCGGAAGCCAACUUUCACUUGUUAAAGAGAAUCCCUGAGAAAUAGUCGCAGAGUUUGGAAACCAUCGUGUUGGGAAGCAGCGCGUAAUGACAGAAGGUCGUCAGAGAUCUUCCUGGAAGCCUGUGAUUGGCCGGCUGUCUGGGCUGGCGGAUGAUUGAUGACGGCGAGGGCAAGGGCGCGCUCCGACAGAAGAAAGGCGCAUACAGGCUCCAUAGAGCCGCUAUGAAGGGCCCGCUCCUCCACCUCCUCCACCUCUUCCUCCACCUCCUCCACCCCCACCCGACCCAUGGCUACAGGAGGGGGGGGGGGGGAUGGGGAGAGGUGGUGUGUGUGUGUGUGUGGGGGGGGGGUCUGUUACUUGGCUAAUCCGUUUAGCCAUUGAGCUAGCAGCCGUCUGAUGGAGGGGUAAGUGCAGCGACGGAUGUCUAUGUGUGUGUGUGUGUGUGUGUGUGUGGGGGGUUGAAAAUAGCUGGUGGAGAGAGAGAGAGAGAGAGAGAGAGAGAGAGAGAGAGAGAGAGAAAUUAUAAAUAACAUCAGAUACAUUUAAUAAUCUAAAUUAUUGAUGUUAACGAUCAGCAUACUGUAUUGAUUAGUGGUUAGUGAUUAACAAAGAAUAAGCAAAGACCUCGAUAUAUAUUUAUAUCUAUAUAUAGAUAUAGAUGAUCUAUCUAUAGAUAUAAAUAUAGAUAUAGAUAUAAAUAUAGAUAUAGGUUAAAGUGCAUGAGUGCAUGAUUACAGUUUUCUUCCACUCUAGUCUGUAACAGGUGCACCACGCAUGCGCAGAAGGAGAUGACCCCGGCUCACCGAGAGCCGCCGGGCUGGCCAGACAUCAACGCUGUGCGGCCGGACGGCUGGAGUCCGGCCCCGACCCCCCGGCUCACAGCGGCGCUCAAUGGCACAAUUAGCCGGCAAUCUGCUCCGAGCGGCGGGGACACGGAGCCCCGCGGGCCGCUCGGCUGGAGCUGGCCGGCCGGGGCGCGGGGGCAGCGGGGGCGCUGGCCCGCCGCGACCCACUCACCGCAGAGCGGGGGACAAAGAGUGAGCUGUUAUGAAGCCUGCUUAACCAUUCACCGAUCAAUCAACACCGUUUCCUUUUUUACACAAUAACUGUGCUGGAGAUGACUGCAAUAUUCAUUUUGGAACAAAAAAGAGCUUUCUCCCGUUUAGUUCUCCAUGGAGGAAAUAGUAUGGAUGGAUUUUUACUGUAUAGUGGCCUGAUUUGAAUAAUCAUGGAUAAAUGAUGUCUGUAAAAUACGAUGAUAAAUGUAAUAACAUUUAUAUUGUUUAUAUAAAAUGUGUCAAUUUUUUAAAAUGAUAAUAAUCUGAUAAUAAACAAUAAACAGAAAUUGAA
ensembl:lncRNA